ACUCCUACGGGAGGCAGCAGUGGGGAAUAUUGGACAAUGGGCGCAAGCCUGAUCCAGCCAUGCCGCGUGAGUGAUGAAGGCCCUAGGGUUGUAAAGCUCUUUCACCGAUGAAGAUAAUGACGGUAACCGGAGAAGAAGCCCCGGCUAACUUCGUGCCAGCAGCCGCGGUAAUACGAAGGGGGCUAGCGUUGUUCGGAUUUACUGGGCGUAAAGCGCACGUAGGCGGACUAUUAAGUCAGGGGUGAAAUCCCGGGGCUCAACCCCGGAACUGCCUUUGAUACUGGUAGUCUUGAGUUCGAGAGAGGUGAGUGGAAUUCCGAGUGUAGAGGUGAAAUUCGUAGAUAUUCGGAGGAACACCAGUGGCGAAGGCGGCUCACUGGCUCGAUACUGACGCUGAGGUGCGAAAGCGUGGGGAGCAAACAGGAUUAGAAACCCCUGUAGUCCCA
rnacentral:rRNA from 1 species